UACAGAGGGUGCGAGCGUUAAUCGGAAUUACUGGGCGUAAAGCGUGCGCAGGCGGUUAUGUAAGACAGGUGUGAAAUCCCCGGGCUUAACCUGGGAACUGCAUUUGUGACUGCAUAGCUAGAGUACGGUAGAGGGGGAUGGAAUUCCGCGUGUAGCAGUGAAAUGCGUAGAUAUGCGGAGGAACACCGAUGGCGAAGGCAAUCCCCUGGACCUGUACUGACGCUCAUGCACGAAAGGCGUGGGAGCAAACAGG
rnacentral:rRNA from 1 species